CUGUAGAGUUUUGAAUCAUGGCUCAGGAUGAACGCUGGCGGCGUGCCUAAUACAUGCAAGUCGAGCGAACAGACGAGGAGCUUGCUCCUCUGACGUUAGCGGCGGACGGGUGAGUAACACGUGUAACCUACCUAUAAGACUGGGAUAACUUCGGGAAACCGGAGCUAAUACCGGAUAAUAUUGAACCGCAUGGUUCAUAGUGAAAGAGGUUUGCUUCACUUAUAGAUGGACGCGCCGAUUAGCUAGUUGGUAAGGUAACGGCUUACCAAGGCAACGAUCGUAGCCGACCUGAGAGGGUGAUCGGCCACACUGGAACUGAGACACGGUCCAGACUCCUACGGGAGGCAGCAGUAGGGAAUCUUCCGCAAUGGGCGAAAGCCUGACGGAGCAACGCCGCGUGAGUGAUGAAGGUCUUCGGAUCGUAAAACUCUGUUAUUAGGGAAGAACAAAGUGUAAGUAACUUGCACGUCUUGACGGUACCUAAUCAGAAAGCCACGGCUAACUACGUGCCAGCAGCCGCGGUAAUACGUAGGUGGCAAGCGUUAUCCGGAAUUAUUGGGCGUAAAGCGCGCGUAGGCGGUUUUUUAAGUCUGAUGUGAAAGCCCACGGCUCAACCGUGGAGGGUCAUUGGAAACUGGAAAACUUGAGUGCAGAAGAGGAAAGUGGAAUUCCAUGUGUAGCGGUGAAAUGCGCAGAGAUAUGGAGGAACACCAGUGGCGAAGGCGACUUUCUGGUCUGUAACUGACGCUGAUGUGCGAAAGCGUGGGGAUCAAACAGGAUUAGAUACCCUGGUAGUCCACGCCGUAAACGAUGAGUGCUAAGUGUUAGGGGGUUUCCGCCCCUUAGUGCUGCAGCUAACGCAUUAAAGCAAUCCGCCCU
rnacentral:rRNA from 1 species